rnacentral:snRNA from 1 species
AUCCCUUCGCAGGCGAUAUCAUAGCCUAUGAGGUCUAGCCGAGGCGUGAUUAUUGGGUUGAAACUUACCCAAUACCCCGCCGGGACGACUUGCAAUACAGUCGGCCUGGCAAUUUUGAUAGUCUCGUCAGAGA